UAGAAGUACUAUUUUUUGCUGUUUUGGUUUAUAGUGAGUAUUGUGUCAAAUACGCAAAUAAGAUGACCAUUUAGGUACUUCUAAAAAUGACACAGCAACAACAUUAGCAAAAGCUUUGAGGAUGGAAAACCGCAAUCACCGUGUCAUUUUAUUACAUCAAUGAACAAGUUGACAAUCUCUUUUUUUUAUCCAUUUGAACCACUCAGAAAAAAAAUCUGUAUUUUCCCUUGGAAUUAUGUACAAAUGACAAACAUCAAAUACAUUUUCUGUAGACCUACUGAGUUGCCCAGGGUUGCCCCCACAAAAACAAAUGGAGUCUUAAUAGGACAUGAUUGCAUUUUUGUGAUCUAAAACAAACUUGUACUGGUAAAAUAACACUUUCUCUUAGCCAGUACAAAACGUAAUUCUGACAGACAGAAACACCCCAAUUUAAAAAGGUAAUCAUUUCAGUAAACAUGGUCAUUAUGUACUGAAAUAAUAAGAAAAGGAGCUGUGAUCCAUGUGAGCUCCAAUGUUAGCUAAACCAACAGAAUAUAUUCUGCUCCAGAGUUGUCACUGGCACACAGUUGAGCCAGACCACAUGAUGGGAGAGGACAGUGUGUGUUUGUGUCCAAGUCCGUGUGUGUGUGGGGGAAAGCGGGUGGGAGUGAACGAAGGGGGAGGGGUAUAGACAUCCACUUCUCCUGACAAACAAAUUACUUUAACAUUUCAUAGAGUCCCUAAAAGAAUGAGAUUAAUAAGAAUGUAAACAUCUGCAUGUAUUUUAGGAAUAUUUGUGAGACAAAAAUAAUCAUUUGUGCUUCAUUUUAUCCAAUUAGUCACAGGUAUGCAUCUAUUGAUCCAACUCCAGGGAAAUGUCAAGCAAAACAGGGCAUUAUUAAGGGUCACCAUAUAGUCAGCUGGUCCAUCCUCUGAGUUCUGAAUCUUGUGACAUUUUUUUGUUAUUUCUCCCCAUGGAGAUGAAGACCGUGACCCAUUAGUGGUUUGGCAUAGAAGGGCAUAGUAAAGACAAUGUGUUGUUGACAGUCAGGGAAAGUGGAAAUCUUGGUUAUUCCAUGAUGUUCUUGUUGACAUCAUAAGAUAACCGUCUCUUCCCACAGGCCUGUGCAUGCUGACUGGACGAGGGGAGGCCAAGAGAGGGACUGUAGUUGGCUGCUCUAUGCCCAGUCAUAUUUUCC
ensembl:lncRNA